AUUGAACGCUGGCGGAAUGCUUUACACAUGCAAGUCGAACGGCAGCACGGACUUCGGUCUGGUGGCGAGUGGCGAACGGGUGAGUAAUGUAUCGGAACGUGCCCAGUCGUGGGGGAUAACGUAGUGAAAAUUACGCUAAUACCGCAUACGAUCUAUGGAUGAAAGCGGGGGAUCGCAAGGCCUCGCGCGAUUGGAGCGGCCGAUAUCAGAUUAGGUAGGUUGGUGGGGUAAAGGCCCACCAAGCCAACGAUCUGUAGCUGGUCUGAGAGGACGACCAGCCACACUGAAACUGAGACCCGGGCCAGACUCAUACGGGAGGCAGCAGUGGGGAAUUUUGGACAAUGGGCGAAAGCCUGAUCCAGCCAUUCCGCGUGCAGGAUGAAGGCCCUCGGGUUGUAACCUGUUUUUGUACAGAACGAAAAGGUUUCUACUAAUACUAGGAGCUCAUGACGGUACUGUAAGAAUAAGCACCGGCUAACUACGUGCCAGCCGCCGCCGUAA
rnacentral:rRNA from 1 species